ensembl:lncRNA
UUAUAGCAGUUUCUUUCUCUCGAAAAAUCUCAGGUUACUUGACUGGGAGUUCUCAGACCUCCAGUUUCAGCCCUGCCCUCAGCCUCCAGUCGUUGAGAGAGAGACACCCAGCCCCAGCAAUCGGAUUGGGCAGCCCGCCUUGACACACCACUGUGCUGAGUGCUUGAAGACGUGUUUCACCAGAUGGUUGGGGUUAGCGUGUGUCAUCACAUUCGAGUGGGGAUUAGGAGUAGGAAGGCUGCCUUGCCGGAGCUGUGUGGUCUUCUCCAAGGGAGAAUUGCGGGCAAGAGAACUCCUUUGCUCCGGGGAGAAGAGGAGGAAUUCGUUUUCCGCAGCCACGAGAAAAGCAGUGUUUUCAGGUGCUGACGGCCAGCCCCAUCAUCUGAAGAAGGUGAAUUUGGCGAAUGACAUGCAGGUUCUCCAAGACAGAGUAAUCACAGAAAAUCGUCAAAGGUACUCAAUAUCAGAUAUUGAUCUCUGUCUCUUUUUUUUUUUUUUAAUUAAUUGAGGUUUGUUUGUUUUGACUGCACUGCGUGGCAUGUAGAAUCUUAGUUCCCUGACCAGGGAUCAAACUCACGUCCCCUUUUUGGAAGCACGGAGCCUUAACCACUGGACCACCAGGCGAGUGCAUACUCAGUCAUGUCUGACUCUUUGCGAUCCCAUAGACUGUAGCCUGCCAGGUUCCUCUGUCCGUGGAAUUUUCCAGGCAAGAAUACUCAAAUGGGUUGUCAUUUCCUAUUCCAGGGGAUCUUCCCAACCCAGGGAUCAAACCUAAGUCUCUUGCGUCUCCUGCAUUGGCAGGCAGAUUCUUUACCACUGCGCCACCUGGGAAGCCCUCAGGGAAGUCCCAAAUGUUGAUUUCUUGGUUAAUUAAACCAUGACAUUAGCAAUACCUGAGUACUCCAUGUCACUUGGAGAGGGUAGCAUUUCACAGAUGGGGAAUUAUCAGAAAAUGAGGAGUUGAGAAUUCUGCUCUUCCCUGUAGCACUCUCUUCCUUCUUGGCUGAAAAAGCUAAAAGCCAGAGUCACCGCAUGAUAUUUUCCUCAAGAAUGGGAAAAGAAGCCUCUAAAGAAUCAUGUUGGUUUAUUAACAUCUUAUGAGCUAUUCCAGAAGCUCGGGGGAAUUCCAGGGGGUUGUUCAUGGCAGGUCUGCUAUGCCCAGCCAUCCACAGUUUCGGCAUGAAAACUGCAGAUGUCACCCAUGUUGUUAACAGCUUAACCUCAUAGUUUCUCCCCUUGGUCAGAUACACUGGUGCCAAGAGUGUUGUGGGGCCAGGGCGAGCCACGGGGACCCACCUCAGCAGUACAGCCUCAGUUGUGAAAACAUUCUUAGGGGUGUUGACUCAUAUGAGUUUAUACCACACCCCCUCCCCAUGAGUUUUUCUCAAAUGUCAACACUGAAAGUUGUUUCCACCCACAGUGAAAACUAACACCAUGGAAACUGUUGAGCUCCUCUUGGUUUCUGCAGCUCGUCAAAAUCAUUGCGCUUUGCUUGAUUUUCAUUCUAAUUCUUAUGUUAACCCAGGUUGACCUGGAAUAAGUCCUUUAAUCACCAAAAAGCUCAUGAACCUCACACAAGCAAAACAAAACAAAAAUUUUCAAGUCUGACCUAAAUUUCUGGUUUGUCUUUUGAGGGUUGAUGUCUCCAGCUUUUCUUUCUAAUACUUAUGGAAUUCAACAUUUUGUCCUCAUACUACAGAUUGCAAGGAAAGAAGGGAAAUAGCUGGAAACAUAUGGUGGGGAGGGGGGACCAGGGUUGCUUCUUUGACAUAGUCAUGAGCACUGGCAGUUCUCGAAUUCUCAGAGCUUUGUCUGAAGGUGGCCUGGGGUCUCACCAGUAAUGUAUUAGAUUCCUGUUAUUCACAAGCUAAAUCAACAGUAGGAGAAGACAAGCUGAAAUUUAGGUCUUCUUUACUUUGAAACUCCAAAUGGGAGAGGAAAGUAUUCCAAAGCAAACUGAAAAAAGUCCUGUUUAGGAAUAAACUCAAUAAACAGUACGUGACUUCUUAAAUCUGCUUCAUCAUCUUGAGUCAAUUUACCAGACCUUUUUCUUGUGAACCUCUCAUCCAAUGUACCUGUUUUUCUGUAGGAAAGAAAGAAGUUGUCCUUAGGUAUCAUAUCAUUCAAAAUUAACUAUAGAAGAGGCCAGAAAACCGUUAAUACUGGAGGUCACCCUAUAUCGUCCCAAGAGGUCACUCAAGACCUGCUUUCUCAAAGCAGUUUCUCGUGGGCUAU